rnacentral:rRNA from 1 species
AUUGAACGCUAGCGGCAUGCUUAACACAUGCAAGUCGAACGGCAGCGCGAGGAGCUUGCUCCUUGGCGGCGAGUGGCGGACGGGUGAGUAACGCGUAGGAAUUUACCUAGUAGUGGGGGACAACUCGGGGAAACUCGAGCUAAUACCGCAUAAUCUCUACGGAGCAAAGUGGGGGAUCUUCGGACCUCACGCUAUUAGAUGAGCCUGCGUCAGAUUAGCUUGUUGGUGGGGUAAAGGCCUACCAAGGCGACGAUCUGUAGCUGGUCUGAGAGGAUGAUCAGCCACACUGGGACUGAGACACGGCCCAGACUCCUACGGGAGGCAGCAGUGGGGAAUAUUGGACAAUGGGGGAAACCCUGAUCCAGCAAUGCCGCGUGUGUGAAGAAGGCCUUCGGGUUGUAAAGCACUUUCAGUGGGGAGAAGGCCUAAGGUAAUAGCCUUAGGAGUUGACGUUACCCGCAGAAGAAGCACU